rnacentral:lncRNA from 1 species
GAGAGAAUGUGUUUAGGGGAGCCUCUCAUCAGUUUUGUAGUCUAAAAGCAUCAUCUGAGAGAGUUUUGAAAAGAUUGCUACUGCAUUUGCAGCAGCCCUCCACUUUCAUUAACGGAUUGUUUAAUGGAUACGAAAACUUAAGUGGGUUAGGAGCAUUUUGCUGAAAAAUAUUUGAAAAAUUUUGUACCUGAUUUUUUUCUCAUCAAGUUUAUAGGAGGUUGCUGUUUGUAAGAUUACAGCCUUCCAGUCUUAGAAGAAACCAUCAUUUGAGAAAGGAUUUAUAGCCUUAUAUGAUUUUUAGAAAAUAUUGAUGCAGCA